CCUACGGGAGGCUGCAGUGAGGAAUAUUGGUCAAUGGCCGGAAGGCUGAACCAGCCAUGCCGCGUGAAGGUCAGUGCCCUAUGGGCGUUAAACUUCUUUUGUGCGGGAGCAAUAAUGGUCACGUGUGGCCAGACGAGAGUACCGUACGACUAAGCAUCGGCUAACUCCGUGCCCGCAGCCGUGGUAAUACGGGGGAUGCAAGCGUUAUCCGGAGUUAUUGGGUUUAAAGGGUGCGUAGGCUGUGAGGUAAGUCAGCGGUGAAAUGCCCCCGCUCAACGGGGUGAAGUGCCAUUGAUACUGCCUUGCUUGAAUGCGGAUGCAGUGGGAGGAAUGUGUGGUGUAGCGGUGAAAUGCAUAGAUAUCACACAGAACACCGAUUGCGAAGGCAUCUCACGAAUCCGCGAUUGACGCUGAUGCACGAAAGCGUGGGUAUCAAACAGGAUUAGAUACCCGAGUAGUC
rnacentral:rRNA from 1 species